GACGAACGCUGGCGGCGUGCUUAACACAUGCAAGUCGAACGGAAAGGCCCUGCUUUUGUGGGGUGCUCGAGUGGCGAACGGGUGAGUAACACGUGUGUAACCUGCCCUUGACUUUGGGAUAUCUUCAGGAAACUGGGGCUAAUACCGGAUAGGAUCUCCUGCUGCAUGGUGGGGGUUGGAAAGUUUCGGCGGUUGGGGAUGGACUCGCGGCUUAUCAGCUUGUUGGUGGGGUAGUGGCUUACCAAGGCUUUGACGGGUAGCCGGCCUGAGAGGGUGACCGGCCACAUUGGGACUGAGAUACGGCCCAGACUCCUACGGGAGGCAGCAGUGGGGAAUAUUGCACAAUGGGCGGAAGCCUGAUGCAGCAACGCCGCGUGCGGGAUGACGGCCUUCGGGUUGUAAACCGCUUUCGCCUGUGACGAAGCGUGAGUGACGGUAAUGGGUAAAGAAGCACCGGCUAACUACGUG
rnacentral:rRNA from 1 species